CCUGAGAAACCCAAAAGAUCGAAUGGGGAGAUUCAUCGUCAGCUCAUUUUGUAUAUAUAUAAGUUACGAUGCGGGUUACUCUUGUAGUAUUGCCUGCACGUUCUUGUAUAUUUAGUUGCAAGAUGUUGUCGGCGUGCACUUCUCCCCUAGUAGGACGUCGCGACCCGUUGGGUGUCGGUCUACGGCCCAAGUUGUAGACUUUAAUGUUUAAAAACAUUAAAGACCCUUGGUGUUUCCUGACCGGCUACCCGGCGGUACUCGUAUGGUAUUAAGCCGCAUUUUAUAUGCGUCUAUAUCCGUCGCAAGCGAGGCUAGUUUCUGAUAGUACGGACCUAGUGCCGUCGUUGGAGCUGGCCAGCUGUUGGCUGUUACGGUAUUCUAAGACUGGCUUAAAUUAAUUACCGGUCGGCGAUGCUACUGCUUUGGGUACUUUCAGGACCCGUCUUGAAACACGGACCAAGGAGUCUAACAUGUACGCGAGUCAUUGGGAUUUUUUCCAAAAUUAAACCUAAAGGCGUAAUGAAAGUAAAGGUCGUCCUUGCGUCGACCGAGGGAGGAUGGGCUAUGUUAAGAUAUAGUUCCGCACUCCCGGGGCGUCUCAUUCUCAUUAUGAGAAGAGGCGCACCUAG
rnacentral:rRNA from 1 species